UCGCUGUGUGUUACAAGUGUCACACGGUACUGCCGGUCUUAAGCCGGAGGAAGUGGGGAUGACGUCAAGUCAGCAUGGCCUUUAUGUCCUGGGCUACACACACGCUACAAUGGCCAACACAAUAGGUUGCUAAGCCGCGAGGUGGAGCCAAUCCUCAAAGUUGGUACUCAGUUCAGAUUGCAGGCUGCAACCCGCCUGCAUGAAGAUGGAGUUGCUAGUAACCGCAGGUCAGCUAUACUGCGGUGAAUACGUUCCCGGGCCUU
rnacentral:rRNA from 1 species